CUUCCGGGUGUCCUAGGAGAGAGGAGCUUGUUCAGCCCAGUUUGGAGUGGCAUGCUUCUCUUGGUUCAGCCCAAAGACACAGGCUUCUAAAGGUAUCAAAAUGUUUGUGUACAAGAGGGAGAACAGCAGAAGUCUUGGACAAAGCACUAUAGACAAGCUAUGUAAUUCAAUUUCCAGAAGUUUUCUCAAAUGUCCAAAAGUUAGCCCUUGCAAUGGAUAAUGGUAAAGAGUGAUAGAAAUUACUAGAAGAUAUCAUUUCAGGAAAAGAAACAAAGGCAUGAAGGAAUCUGAAGAGAUGAGGGGAAAUAUAGCAAACAGGAGUAAAGUCAUUAUUGGCAGAGAAGAGUUUUGCUUAAAAAGCUUGAGAAUUCAUUUGUGAAAUUCAGAUGUUUAAUGAUGUAUAAGUACCUGUGGUAGAGAAGAAAUUGAGAAAUAUCACCCCAACCCAAGGAAAUUGUGUAAUAUUAUGAUGCUGCUUAAUUUUUAAAUGUGGAAAAUGAAAAUAGCAAACUUCAAACUUUAAUUUUCUGUAUAUGAUGACUUCACUAAUAUUAUCAAAUAAACUUUUAUUAUUCAUAAUGAAUCUUUUUCAUCUUUUAAAAAUAUAUAAUUAAAG